rnacentral:rRNA from 1 species
AACGAACGCUGGCGGCAGGCCUAACACAUGCAAGUCGAGCGCCCUUUCGGGGGAGCGGCGGACGGGUGAGUAACGCGUGGGAAUAUGCCCUUCUCUACGGAAUAGCCUCGGGAAACUGAGAGUAAUACCGUAUACGCCCUGUGGGGGAAAGAUUUAUCGGGGAAGGAUUAGCCCGCGUUGGAUUAGGUAGUUGGUGGGGUAAUGGCCUGCCAAGCCGACGAUCCAUAGCUGGUUUGAGAGGAUGAUCAGCCACACUGGGACUGAGACACGGCCCAGACUCCUACGGGAGGCAGCAGUGGGGAAUCUUAGACAAUGGGGGCAACCCUGAUCUAGCCAUGCCGCGUGAGUGAUGAAGGCCUUAGGGUUGUAAAGCUCUUUCAGCUGGGAAGAUAAUGACGGUACCAGCAGAAGAAGCCCCGGCUAACUCCGUG